UUAAAACAAAAAAUCAAAGUACCAUGAGAAGCACCAAUAGAAGGAGAACCCUGACAAAAAUCAAGAGCCCAACAGUAGGUAGACAAAGUUCAUGAAUUUUAUACCAAAGUGAUCCAGGGGAAAGGGAAGCAAAGAUUAGGGUCUGUGGCAAGAAGUCCUGAGAGGAAUCAGAAUUCUGUAAGAAGUACUGGCAAUUCUGUGAUAUUACAGACAUUAGAAUCCUCUCUGAUAUGUAAAUAGGCCCCUCAGCCACUUAUCCUGUGUGUCUUUGAGACAAAACACUCUUAAGAUGUUGAAACUCUCUGAGAGGCUGGGUGAUAGCGAAAUGCCUUUCAGGCCAAGGCCAUGCAACUUGCUUAUUCUUUUUUUUUUUUUUGUCUACUAAUGAACACCUAUAUCUCAGCAUGCCAUUCUGCCAUACAUUUUGUGCUCCAAGGGGCCAAGGUGUUUACAAGUUAUUUCAGACUCUUUUAGAGAUGAUGUCAUCCUGUUUCUAGAGUUGAACUGAAAAUGACUAAUAUUCUGGGAUAGAAUGCCAGGAGAUCCUGAAUCUUAAAGUGAGGGAGAGUCUGGCUAGUUUUGCAGACUCACUUCUAAUGGAUAGCACUACCAUAAUGGUGUAAUCCUGCACUGAGGUAAGUGAUCAGAGCAUAAGUGUAGUAAGAACUAGAGACAUUAGAAAGUAGAGUUUGGACAAGCCACACUUGUGCUCCUGGAAAUAUCUCACAUUCUUGCCGAGCA
rnacentral:lncRNA from 1 species